rnacentral:rRNA from 1 species
UACCAGCACCCCCGAGUUGUCGGGACGAUUACUGGGCCUAAAGCGCCCGUAGCCGGCCCGGUGUGUCCCUCGUUAAAUCCACGGGCUUAACCCGUGGGCUGCGGGGGAUACUACCGGGCUUGGGGGUGGGAGAGGCGCCCGGUAUUCCCGGGGUAGGGGUAAAAUCCUCUGAUCCCGGGAGGACCAUCAGUGGCGAAGGCGGGGCGCCAG